UGGGAGAUCUGCGGCGUACGAAAAGAAACGCGAAAGUGUACGCAGCCAUUCAAGAGGAGCUGCGCGCGGAAGGCAUAGACAAACCCCUAAAGACUAUAAAGUCGAAGAUAGAGAACUUGGGCAACAAAUACAGAGACCUGUGCAAGAAGAGGUGUACAGGACAGGGUGCCAUCUCCUGGAAGUAUUUUUGGGAGCUGCACGAGUUCCUUGCUGCACUCCCAGUGAAUGACAAGUCACUGACGGAUGACAUUGGCUGCAGCAGUGCAACUGUUGAAGACCUCGUUCACGAGAUGGUGCAUGGCACAGAUUCCCACUGUGAAGACGCUGUGCUGGACCAAGAUGUCACUAGCCGUCCACCAUCGCCACACACAUCGGAACACGGCGACGACGCUGUUGUUCCGACAGCCGAACCAGAUGUGUCGGCUUCGCCAGCUGCAUCUGGCAUUGGCAGGAGAAUGCCAGUGGGCAAAAAAACGCAGAGGGAAUCCCUGCUUGCACAGAUGGUUGAAGAACAACGAAAAAUAAGAAUUUCUUAUGAGAAAUCAAAAGAAAAAGAAAAUUCCUAUCGGGAACGAAUGUUCGUGCUUCACGAGAAGGCUGCUGAGCGCGAGGAAAGAUUAAUUGCGGUCUUGGCAGACUUGGGAAAAAAAUAAACACAUUCUCAGCCACACCACUUUCUUGUGUUAUUCUUUUGCAGGAAACAUGUAAUUACAGCACAAAACUAGCUGUAUUUCAUGCAGCAGAUCUCAACAUGCUAUAUGUUCGUCAACUGUUUGCACUCUCUGCUGCAGCUUGCCCGUCCUGCAAACUUUUAGCUUUAAUGUCACUGAUAUAGCCUGUAGACCCAGUGGCCCACCAUAACAUACAACAGCCAUACAGACAGCAUGAUUGUGACAAUUGCAAGUUAAAAACUGCUUUGCUAUGGAUGGCCCCAGACACAGGAAACACUGAAAAAAAUUAAACUGAUAGGACACAUUCAAGGUUAGAUGCGCUUGGCGUCUUUAUGAAUGUCAGAAACAGGCAACGGCCAAGCGGAGCGAGUGCGAGCACCAACAACCAGAAGCAUCUUCGUCUUCUGCUGGCGCCCGUAUCUGUCACUACAAUCACUCCUCGGCGAAAAAGGAGCAAUCCUGGCGACCUAUGGGACAGGCAGUACUGGUGGGUCGUAGUGCGGCUUCAGUCGGUCGACAUGAACA